rnacentral:rRNA from 1 species
UACAGAGGUCUCAAGCGUUGUUCGGAUUCAUUGGGCGUAAAGGGUGCGUAGGCGGCGCGGCAAGUCGGGUGUGAAAUCUCGGGGCUUAACUCCGAGACUGCAUUCGAUACUGCCGUGCUUGAGGACUGGAGAGGAGACUGGAAUUUACGGUGUAGCGGUGAAAUGCGUAGAUAUCGUAAGGAAGACCAGUGGCGAAGGCGGGUCUCUGGACAGUUCCUGACGCUGAGGCACGAAGGUCAGGGGAGCAAACGGG